UACGGGGGGGGCAAGCGUUGUUCGGAAUUACUGGGCGUAAAGGGUUCGUAGGUGGCCAACUAAGUCAGACGUGAAAUCCCUCAGCUCAACUGGGGAACUGCGUCUGAUACUGGUUGGCUUGAGUGCAGGAGAGGAACGCGGAAUUCCAGGUGUAGCGGUGAAAUGCGCAGAUAUCAGGAGGAACACCUAUGGCGAAGGCAGCUCGCUGGGACGGUACUGACGCUGAGGCGCGAAAGCGUGGGGAGCAAACAGG
rnacentral:rRNA from 1 species